rnacentral:misc_RNA from 1 species
GUGAAUCAUCGAAUUUUUGAACGCAUAUUGCACUCUCUGGUAUUCGGGAGAGUAUGCCUAUUUGAGGGUCAUUUGAAAUAAUAUAAAUUCAAAGAUUUCUGGGAAUUUAAAAUGGGUUGUCCAUUUUUUGUGGUCGCUUAAAAUCCAAGAAAAGCUCAUUUUCUUGGGUUGCGGGAUAUUUUUAGUUACCUGGUGACUUAACCAGGAAUCAUGGGGGGUGUUAUAAAUUU